rnacentral:rRNA from 1 species
UACGUAGGUGACGAGCGUUUAUCCGGAAUACUGGGCGUAAAGCGCACGCAAGCGGUUUUACAAGUCUGGCGUGAAAUUCUCUGGCUUAACCAGGGGCGGUCGCUGGAGACUGUAAGACUUGAGGCGAUGAGAGGGGUGCAGAAUUCCUAGUGUAGAGGUGAAAUUCGUAGAUAUUAGGAAGAACACCGGUGGCGAAGGCGGCCCACUGGAUCGGUACU